CCUACGGGUGACAGCAGUGGGGAAUAUUGCACAAUGGGGGAAACCCUGAUGCAGCGACGCCGCGUGAGCGAUGAAGUAUUUCUGUAUGUAAAGCUCUAUCAGCAGGGAAGAAAAUGACUGUACCUGUCUAUGAAGCCCCGUCUAACUACGUGCCAGCGGCCGCGGUAACACGUAGGCGGCAAGCGUUAUCCGGAUUUACUGGGUGUAAUGGGAGCGUAGACGGUCUUGCAAGUCAGAGGUGAAAGCCCGGGGCUCAACCCCGGGACUGCAGUUGGAACUGUAAGGCUAGAGUGUCGGCGAGGCAGGCGGAAUGCCUGGUGUAGCGGUGAAAUGCGUAGAUAUUAGGCGGAACACCAGUGGCGAAGGCAGCCUGCUGGACGAUGACUGACGUUGAGGCUCGAAAGCGUGGGGAGCAAACAGGAUUAGAUACCCCAGUAGUC
rnacentral:rRNA from 1 species